UGGAAUACAACUGCAUGAUACAGCUUCCA
rnacentral:piRNA from 1 species